GACGAGCGCUGGCGGCGUGCUUAACACAUGCAAGUCGAACGGGAAGGCCGUGCUUUUUUUGGGUGCUCGUGUGGCCACCGCGUUCUUUACACGUUAGUAAUCUGCCCUUUACUUUUGGAUAACUUCAGGAAACUCGCGCUAAUACCGGACAGGAGCCUCCCCUGCAUGUUGGGAUUUGGAAAGUUUCGGCGGUUGGGGAUCGACGCGCGGCUUAACAGCUUGUUGCUGGAGUAGUGGCUUAGCAAGGCUUUGACGGGUGGCAGGGAUGAGAGGGGGACCGGCCACGUCGGGACUGAGAUACGGCCCAGACUCGUACGGGAGGCAGCAGUGGGGAAUAUUGCAAGAUGGGCGGAAGCCUGAUGAAGGAACGCCGCGUGCGGGAUGACGGCAUUAGGUUUGUAAACCGGUUUCGAAUGGGCCGAAGAGUGAGUGACGGGAAUGGGUAAAGAAGAGCCGGCUAACUACGUG
rnacentral:rRNA from 1 species